rnacentral:rRNA from 1 species
AUGUUGGAUGAGGGUACAAAGCCUAAUAUAUUCACAUAUACUAGCCUAAUAAAUGGUCUUUGCCAUAAUGACAGACUUUCUGAAGCUGUGACAUUGUUUAAGCAUAUGAUUUGGGAAGGAUUGACACCAGACAGGAUUUUGUAUACAUCUCUUAUUGAUUGCUAUUGUAAGCGUUCAAACAUGAAGGCAGCUUUGGAAAUUUUUAGAGAGAUGGGGAAAGGGGGUUUAUCAGCAGAUGCUUUUGUCUAUACUUGUUUAAUUGGUGGGUUUAGUAAAGUGCUUGCGAUGGAUGGUGCGCGGUGGUUGAUGGAAGAAAUGAUAAAUAAGGGGCUUUCACCUACUGUAGUAACUUAUACAGAUAUCAUAGUUGGAUACUGCAAAACUGGAGAUGAGAAGAAAGCUCAUAUGAUGUAUAACAGUAUGCUCCAGGCAGGCAUUACACCGGAUGACAAGCUGAGUAGUAUAUUGGGAUUUGGCAAUGAUGGAGAUAGUUUUCAGGACUACCAGGAAGAGAAGGAUAUAUCAUAA